CAAGGGUACACCUAGGAACCUCAUCAGUAAGGCCCAAGAGUUGUAACUGUGAGUAGCAGCACAGUACAGACCUACACGACUUUCUUCCCUAAUAUCCCAGGCCAGCAAUGACCUCUCUGCAGUGAAUGGAAGAGGAAGCCUGAUGAAUGCAAAUACCAUGUGGCAAAGUCUAGAUCUUGAUAAAAACAGUCAGCAGCCAGAAAAAUCUGUAUGCAAUGGGAUGCUACUGUGGGCCAGCAUACUGAAUCUAGUCUAGCCUGAGAUACCUUUGAUAGGCUGUGGUUGAGCAGUAAGAAGAGAGGCCAUCUGUUUUCCUUUUGAUGGUGAUGCAACAGCCUGGCCAGGUAAAAGCAUCAAGAAGGGAGAAGCAUGUGCCUUCUUUAGAAUAACUAAACAUGCCUGGAAGAGAAAAGCUGUCAAGAUGACAUGUGGAAUGGCAGAGAAGAAACAUGGCCAGGAGGGAGGCUGCAGCACGGGCAGGAGGUAGAAGGUGCCUGUAUCUAACAAGCAGCAAAAAGAGAGUGGGUGGGGACUGACUGUUCAGGGCACUGUGAAGUGAGGACGGUGGAAGCCUCAAAAAGAGGUGAUUCUUUAUGAAACAGGCUGUAGCCCUGGGAAACUUCUUGCCAAAGAUGAUGUAGAUGCAAGAAGUUUGCAUGGGCUCAAAGGAGACUGGGCUGAUAUUUGGAAGCGAGUACUUGGGAUUAUCUACUAAGCAGACAAGCUACGUCAGGCUAAGGUUUCUGCUGAACCAUAAAUACUCAGAAACCGUCAAAGCAUUAGAGAGUAGUAUUAAAUGUUUUUUUCCUUGCUUUUCUUUUUCCUUUGGCUACUUUUUGUGGCCCUAAUUAGAGAGCGAAUACUGCACAGAUGGUCCAAGAUGACCCUUGAUCUGAAGCAGUGUGCCUCUUCUUCUGGAGACAGGCAGCCAGGACUGAUAAAGGAUGAAAAGAAACUACUCCUGAGGGUACUAUGUGUAGUAAACUGUGAUCCCAGAAGCUACUGAAAGAUUACUGGAGAGACAACAAAUCGCAGAUAAAGGACUCCAUUGCCAGUACAGAGCUGUGUUUAUAGACCAGUUUUCAUUUGUUCUCUCCCACUAUGAACUUUCUUGGGUUUAAAAUUAUUAGCGUCCUAGUUCCUGUUGUAACACAACCUAACUUUUGAGGCUCUAAGCUCUCUUGGGAAUUUUGGGGGUGGGGAAGUCUCACUUUCUGGAAAAUGUAUAGGCAAAUCCAUCUGUAAGCUCAGCCUUCAUGCUCAGGGUGCAUACAACAGACUGGUGCUACAGCAAUGGUGCUUCCAGGCACCAUUUCCAGCAGGUUAAACCGUCCAGAUUUUUUUGCAGGCAUGUAGCUGGGAGAGACCAACUAGAUCAGCCUUAUUCACCGACCAGAGGAUCACAGGCACAGGCUAUCACAUACAGAAAUGGCCACUGAGCACCAUGGUGUGCAAUUAAUACCACCUUAUCACCUCCAAAAGUUUGGCCUCACUGUUUGAAGAAUUUGGACCUCUCUGGCUGAAAAUUCAAGUGAAGAGCAGGGAUCCAUAGCCGAGAUGGUUGAUUUCUCUGUGGUAGAUAUUAAAUUUGAGAGCUUACCGCAGCCCAUCACUGGAACAGUUCCCCAGCUGUGGGGUCAAGAAAGGACCCGCUUUUUAGGAGAUGCCUGCAGAGACCUGCUGACAGGCGCGUUAAGAAGAUGUGUAAGCCACCGUAACCAGGGAGCGGUUAGUACCUUACAGCAUCCUAUUCAAGGAAACACCAGUCAGCUUUAGUAAGCUGGGCCUGCAGGGAGUCCCUCUGGAGAAGAGCUUUGCUCUGGGGUCCUUCAAGUCCUUUUUCUUCUCUGAGAAGCACCAACAGAGCUGGCAAUACACAGCACUACUGUCACAUGGAGGGGUCCUCAGUGGGAAUCGGUUUGAAACCCUUUGCCUAAGGAGCUCUUUGCAAUCAGUGACAGAUACUAAUGACAGCAAUUGAUCCUGGAGAUAAGAGUGAAUCAGCCUUCGAGGACUCCUGAAUGAUCCUGCAGCUUAACAGCUCCAGCCCUGAAAACAUCAAUUUAACAUCAUGCCUGUAGCCACCCUAAUUUUAUCCAGGGGAUUAGAUUAAAAAAUCUUCAUGUUUUUCUCCAAAAACAAUGUCUGUAUUUCGCUAACGUAUGAUACGUGCAGUGUUCACAGAAAAAAAAACAAAAACCAAGAUGCAGAGUUGUUAGUGUUGUAUGCAGUAAGAAAAAUUAAAUACAAACUUGAUACUUCUGAAAUAAA